CUCAUCUCUUUCCUUAAACCCUCCUCUCAAUUGCACUGAAACGCGCACACACAACGCGCAAUGGCCUUGAGGCUUUUUCUUCUCGUAGCUCUGCUCUUGUUCUGUACUCUCCAGGUUUCAUCUGAUUCUGAGAUAACCGAUCAGGUCAAACCUUUGACCUAUGCCGAUUGUCAAGGGCUGUGCCAAGUGAGAUGCGGUUUGCAUUCGAGGAAAAACGUAUGCAUGAGAGCUUGUGGAACAUGUUGCGCACGAUGCAACUGCGUGCCGCCCGGCACGUAUGGCAACCGAGAGGCUUGC